CAGCCGCCGCGGUAAUACAGAGGGUGCGAGCGUUAAUCGGAUUUACUGGGCGUAAAGCGUGCGUAGGCGGCUUUUUAAGUCGGAUGUGAAAUCCCUGAGCUUAACUUAGGAAUUGCAUUCGAUACUGGGAAGCUAGAGUAUGGGAGAGGAUGGUAGAAUUCCGGGUGUAGCGGUGAAAUGCGUAGAGAUCUGGAGGAAUACCGAUGGCGAAGGCAGCCAUCUGGCCUAAUACUGACGCUGAGGUACGAAAGCAUGGGGAGCAAACAGGAUUAGAUACCCCGGUAGUCCCUGUCUCUUAUAC
rnacentral:rRNA from 1 species